AGAAGCUCAGUCCUAGAGAACUCUGAGGAUAGCCUGUGAGCUGCAAGUCUGAGGAAGCCGAAAGGAGAAUGGCCACACAGCAUGUCCUGUGGGACUGGAGAAAUAUGGAGAAUGCAGCACACUUGCUUCCUACUGAAGAUUAAAAUCAAAUUGUUUUGGGACAGCAGAGGAUGAAGAAACUCAUUUUGACUGAAGUUAUUGGAUGAGACAUGGCUGUGGACAACUUCAGAGAAGAUAUAUUUAAGCAGAACCUUAAACUUAUGUCAGAAUUUUUAAUCACCAGAGAUCAGCAAAGCCAAAGGCAUAUAGACUAUUUCUCAGAUGCACUUGUCAAGAUGAGAGAAUGUGGGCAGAGGAAAUCCCUGAAAAACCAGAUGGCAGAAGUUACUCAGAAGAAAUGAAAGGAUUUUCCAUUAUUCAAAUAGGAGGUGGAAGAGGAAGUGUGGGAGUAAUUACUGGAUUAAGAUCACUGAAAGACAAGAUUGUCUUUAAGGAAACAGAAGACUGAGAAGAAAAGAAGCUUGCUCAAGGUCACAUAGAGCUGGAAUUUAAAUUCAGAUCUAUUAUACUCUUAAGGACUGUGGAAGGUUCUAGAGGCUGGAAGUCGAAGAUCAAAUGCUGGCAAGUGAGAAGAGUAAAUUUUGAAUGUCCCAUACACAAAGAAAUGAUAUGUGUUUGAGGUGCUGAAUA
rnacentral:lncRNA from 10 species